rnacentral:rRNA from 1 species
GACGAACGCUGGCGGCGUGCUUAACACAUGCAAGUCGAACGCUGAAGCUCAGCUUUUGUUGGGUGGAUGAGUGGCGAACGGGUGAGUAACACGUGAGUAACCUGCCUCCUUCUUUGGGAUAACGCCCGGAAACGGGUGCUAAUACUGGAUAUUCACUGGUCUUCGCAUGGGGGUUGGUGGAAAGGGUUUUUCUGGUGGGGGAUGGGCUCGCGGCCUAUCAGCUUGUUGGUGGGGUGAUGGCCUACCAAGGCUUUGACGGGUAGCCGGCCUGAGAGGGUGACCGGUCACAUUGGGACUGAGAUACGGCCCAGACUCCUACGGGAGGCAGCAGUGGGGAAUAUUGCACAACGGGCGCAAGCCUGAUGCAGCGACGCCGCGUGAGGGAUGGAGGCCUUCGGGUUGUGAACCUCUUUCGCUCAUGGUCAAGCCGCAACAAUGGUUGUGGUGAGGGUAGUGGGUAAAGAAGCGCCGGCUAACUACGUG